GACGGAGGAUGCAAGUGUUAUCCGGAAUCACUGGGCGUAAAGCGUCUGUAGGUGGUUUAAAAAGUCCACUGUUAAAAAUUGAAGCUUAACUUCAAAGAUGCCGUGGAAACUUUUAAACUUGAGUAUGAUAGGGGUAGAGGGAAUUUCCAGUGGAGCGGUGAAAUGCGUAGAUAUUGGAAAGACCACCAAUGGCGAAGGCACUCUACUGGGCCAUUACUGACACUGAGAGACGAAAGCUAGGGGAGCGAAUGGG
rnacentral:rRNA from 1 species